GAUGAACGCUAGCGAUAGGCUUAACACAUGCAAGUCGAGGGGCAGCAUUAUUUUAGCUUGCUAAGAUAGAUGGCGACCGGCGCACGGGUGCGUAACGCGUAUGCAACCUGCCUGUAAUUAGGGAAUAACCCGGUGAAAGUCGGACUAAUACCCUAUAUUCUUCUUUCUCCGCAUGGAGGAGGACGGAAAGAUUUAUUGAUUACAGAUGGGCAUGCGUCCCAUUAGCUAGUUGGUAAGGUAACGGCUUACCAAGGCAACGAUGGGUAGGGGGACUGAGAGGUUGACCCCCCACACUGGUACUGAGACACGGACCAGACUCCUACGGGAGGCAGCAGUGAGGAAUAUUGGUCAAUGGGCGAGAGCCUGAACCAGCCAAGUCGCGUGAAGGACGACGGUUCUAUGGAUUGUAAACUUCUUUUGUAGAGGAAUAAUGGCAGCUACGCGUAGCUGAGAU
rnacentral:rRNA from 1 species